UACGAAGGGGGCUAGCGUUGCUCGGAAUCACUGGGCGUAAAGGGUGCGUAGGCGGGUCUUUAAGUCAGGGGUGAAAUCCUGGAGCUCAACGUCCAGAACUGCCUUUGAUACUGAGGAUCUUGAGUUCGGGAGAGGUGAGUGGAACUGCGAGUGUAGAGGUGAAAUUCGAUAGAUAUUCGCAAGAACACCAGUGGCGAAGGCGGCUCACUGGCCCGAGUACUGACGCUGAGGCACGAAAGCGUGGGGAGCAACAGGG
rnacentral:rRNA from 1 species